CAUGCCCCCACCCUCAACCCUCAGAGCUGUGGGAAGGGAGGCUGGGUGUGGGCCUUUCACAUUUAUUCUUAUGACCCCAGUACUUCCAUUAAACCUUGGCCUUCCCGCCACUGCUGGGAGAUACAGGUCACUUCUCUAGAACUAAAACAGCAUAAUUAUUUGCAUGCAACUGUCUUUAUCCUCAAUGGGACAAUGUAAAGAUCCAAAGCCACAAGGCCUACCAUCUGCUCCAAAUGCAGCACAGAGAUCUCUGUAAGGAAAAGAAUAUUCACAAGGAAGGAAAACAGAGGAAUCACCAAAGAAAGACACUGGCAGAGAGUGGUCCAACAUCAAAAUCUACACAGAAGAAAAUCAGGGCUGAUUUGAAUGUGCAAAUUGUCAGAAAGCUGAACAUCUGUCCUGAGCUUUGAACUUCGCCAUGAAAUAACAUGGCUAUCUAAUACCAACAUGCAUAAGCCCCUCAAAAUGAAUUCCUCCACAAGAACAAGAAGAGAGGGCAACACCCUCUUCCAGAGCUGACAAGGUGACAUGUGAAAUCUUUCCCAGUAUCCAGGCAGACCUCAUCCCAGUGCCUAUUAAACCUUCCCAUGCUUCACUGA